rnacentral:tRNA from 1 species
ACCCGGUUCGUCCAAUGGCAGGGCGCUUCUCUUACAAAGAAGAGACGAGUGUUCGAUUCACUCACCGGGGACCA